CAAACUGCACUUCAUGAGGAGAAAACUGAAGAAUCAGUGAAGGAUCAAGAAGCUACAACAGAUGAAGUAGUUGCCGAAGCUCCAGCAGCGGAACCAGUUGCCGAAGAGCCAAAGGAAGCGGAGCUUGCGGCGGUGGUAGUCGAGGAACCUGAAGCCUCAGUUGAAGUUGAAACCAAGGAGGUGGUAGAAGAACCAAAGGCUGUUACUGAGGAGCCAGUAGUAGAGGAGGCUCCUAAGGAAACAGUGCCAGAACCAGUUGCCGAGGAGAUCAAGGAAACCACUGAACAAACCGUUGAAACCAAAGAAACUACAGAGUCUAGUGAGGCAGCAGCAGAAGCACCCAAAGAGGAAGUUAAGAAGGAAGAAGAAGCAAAACCAGC
rnacentral:lncRNA from 1 species